CCCUUAGCUUAACGCAGGCACUCCUUUCUAUUAAUUCGAGGUCUUUAUAUAAAUCAAGAGAGAGAAUGAUAUGAGAAUAAUUUAGCUUUAUUUUAAGAUAUAGAUGAUUUGGACUAUAAUCAGAGUUCCCACAAUAGGAUGUGAGGUGAGGUGUUUUUUUUGCUGGUCGUAAGUGCUUAUGAAAGGUAAUAAACCCUAAGCUUUUCAAGGACAGUCACCAAGAUGUAAACAAUUGUUGCUGUUUUAUGUAUUAUCCAUGAGGAUAAAUGAGAUGCAUUACAAUAGGAAAAGCUACUGCCUUCGCCUUCCAGACUGCGUCUUACAAGACCAUUCAAUCAAAAUUCUCAGGGAAUAGCACCUCUUCCAAUGUUCAACUUAAAUAUAUGUCUGUGAAAUGCAUUUGAAAGCUUAAUGUGUGUCUUUUGGAGUGACCAUUCUUUGAAGUUUCAUUGUCCAUUUCAUUUCCAGGAAUGGUAAUACUUCACUUUAUCUUUAUAAGCACUGCCCCAUCCUUGAUCUUAUUUGGUUUGCAUAACUAUGUACUGUGGGGAUAAAGUUAUAAUUCCUAUGCACUAGUAAAACAAAAAAAAAAAAAAAAGAAAGAAAAAAGAAAAUGUCUCUGAAUCCAGUACAGGCAGGAAAGUUGUGUUUGGGAAUCUACCAGGUAAGAAAGAGGCAGGUUAGCCAGCAAGAGAGAGAAAUAAUCACUUACGAUUUCCUUAAUGACUCACAAAAAUGGCAUUGGUCAUUAAAAUGCAUUAUACAGGUGUAGUUUUAUUUAAGCCACAUGUCAGUUUAUCUUCUUUUUGUUAUUUAUUUUUCAACAUUUUAUUAACCAAGUAUUACAGGCUAAGCAUGGUUCUCAUCACUGGAAUAGCUACCGCCUGUGCUGCUGUUCCAACUAGAGGAGAACCAUGAUCAGUCACUCCAACCAUGAGUACCAGCAUAGAAACUCCUCUCCACCAUUGUAUCCAGAUGCAGGGGUCCCUG
rnacentral:lncRNA from 1 species